rnacentral:rRNA from 1 species
CAGCUUGUUGGUGGGGUAAAGGCCUACCAAGGCGACGAUCGUUAGCUGGUCUGAGAGGAUGAUCAGCCACAUUGGGACUGAGACACGGCCCAAACUCCUACGGGAGGCAGCAGUGGGGAAUAUUGGACAAUGGGCGCAAGCCUGAUCCAGCAAUGCCGCGUGUGUGAAGAAGGUCUUCGGAUUGUAAAGCACUUUCGACGGGGACGAUAAUGACGGUACCCGUAGAAGAAGCCCCGGCUAACUUCGUGCCAGCAGCCGCGGUAUUACGAAGGGGGCUAGCGUUGCUCGGAAUGACUGGGCGUAAAGGGCGCGUAGGCGGAUGGCACAGUCAGAUGUGAAAUUCCCGGGCUUAACCUGGGGGCUGCAUUUGAUACGUGUUGUCUGGAGUGAGGAAGAGGGUCGUGGAAUUCCCAGUGUAGAGGUGAAAUUCGUAGAUAUUGGGAAGAACACCGGUGGCGAAGGCGGCGACCUGGUCCUUGACUGACGCUGAGGCGCGAAAGCGUGGGGAGCAAACAGGAUUAGAUACCCUGGUAGUCCACGCUGUAAACGAUGUGUGCUGGAUGUUGGGCGACCUAGU